rnacentral:lncRNA from 1 species
AAGUUUGCCAUAAAGUAACAUAUGUGGUUCCUAUCAUUAUGGUUGUAAAAUAUCGUUCUCCUACUUCUAUUUUGACAAAUGUUUCAUAUGAAAUCCAAAACAUUUUUUAGUGGUCAUUCUCCAAAGUUUUAUGGGUUCUAGACCUCUUGAAGUUCUUAUACCUCAUGUACAAGGGGAUGGGUUCGAAGAACUUAGCUCUGAUACCACUUGUAACAUUCUGAACCUCAAUUCACCCCCAUUUCACAUUAGAAAAGAUGAUAAAUAAGUUCAGGAUCAACAGAAGAAAAUAAGAAAAUCUUAUUAGUUUUU